CCAAUAGCGUAUAUUAAAGUUGUUGCAGUUAAAAAGCUCGUAGUUGGAUUUCGGAAGGUCCUUAGCAGUCCGCCCCUUCGGGGAGCGGGCUGCUGGCCUCCUAUGUUCCUAACGGUCCUCAUCCGCGAGGGUGGGGAAUCAACCGCUAGGAUCGUUUACUUUGAGGAAAUUAGAGUGUUCAAAGCAGGCGUAACUCGCCUCCGAAUACGUUAGCAUGGGAUAAUGGAAUACGACUUCGGUCUUGUUUCGUUGGUUUCGCUUGGCUGAAGUAAUGAUUGAUAGGGACAGUUGGGGGCAUUAGUAUUUAGUUGUCAGAGGUGAAAUUCUAGGAUUUACUAAAGACUGACCAAUGCGAAAGCAUUUGCCAAGGAUGUUUUCAUUAAUCAAGAACGAAAGUAGGGGGAUCGAAGACGAUCAGAUACCGUCGUAGUCUCUACCGUAAACUAUGCCGACCAGGGAUCCGGAGAGUUUGCAUGGAUGACUCCCCGGGCACCUUGUGAGAAAUCAUAAGUGUUUGGGUUUUGGGGGGAGUAUGGUCGCAAGGCUGAAACUUAAAGGAAUUGACGGAAGGGCACCACCAGGAGUGGAACCUGCGGCUUAAUUUGACUCAACACGGGGAAACUUACGAGGUCAGGACACUGUGAGGAUUGACAGAUUGA
rnacentral:rRNA from 1 species